ensembl:lncRNA
UUGAAGAGCACACCCAACAAAUACAAUUUCAUUGGAAUAUACAAGCACCAGACGAAAACCCAAUGUUGGCUACAUGUUGAAAUGUAAACCUCACCCUCACUGACCACUACGAACAAGGUCUCUCUUGGGAUUAUGCAGCGGAUGCAGAUGGCUAUGGUACAAUCUGUUGCAAUCCAGGUUACAGGGAAAUCCUCAUUUCAGCUGGAAACAGAUAAAUGGUGCACAAUUCUACAUCAUAAACUCCAUGGUAGCAUGUCAGAGAAUGCACUGUUAGAGAAGGAAGAGGUAAUAUAGUCCAGAUGCAAAAGUGAUGCGACCUUAGAUCUAAAGAGCCUGGCAGAAAAGGAGGUGAUAUGAGUGCAUAUAUAUAUAUAUAUAUAU